rnacentral:rRNA from 1 species
CCUACGGGAGGCAGCAGUAGGGAAUAUUGCUCAAUGGGGGAAACCCUGAAGCAGCAACGCCGCGUGGAGGAUGAAGGUUUUAUGAUUGUAAACUCCUUUUGUUAGAGAAGAUUAUGACGGUAUCUAACGAAUAAGCACCGGCUAACUCCGUGCCAGCAGCCGCGGGAAUACGGAGGGUGCAAGCGUUACUCGGAAUCACUGGGUGUAAAGAGUGCGUAGGCGGGGUAAUAAGUCAGGUGUGAAAUCCUGUAGCUUAACUACAGAACUGCAGUUGAAACUGGUACUCUUGAGUGUGGGAGAGGUAGGUGGAAUUCGUGGUGUAGGGGUAAAAUCCGUAGAUAUCAAGAGGAAUACUCAUUGCGAAGGCGACCUGCUGGAACAUUACUGACGCUGAUGCACGAAAGCGUGGGGAGCAAACAGGAUUAGAUACCCCGGUAGUC